UUACUGAAUAAAAUAUUGUUGAUCUCAAAGAGAAUAAAGAAGAAAUAUUUGUUUUCAUUUUGGUUCCAAAUGGAAAAUAAAAAUGAGAAUAUGGGAAAUGUUCAGAAAAUGAUUUUUACAGAUGAAAAUGAAGGUGAUGUGAAGCCGGUCUCCAGUUUUAAUGGAUAUUUAUCAUCAUGUUGCUGCGUUUGGAGGCAAAUCUCCAGACUGGAAGAAAACCGUCCUCAUGCACACGGAGGUGUUUCACUGCAGGACGUAAAUACAGGAGCAGAAUCUUGUUAAAACCGGAGACUCUCUCGUUAUAACAAGAUUUAUAUCUCAUUAAAACCAGAACAUAUUCUGGUUAAAACGAGAAAGGUCGUAACGUGAAACUGCAGAACCUCGUGGGGCGUUCGAGUGCCGUCUGGAAGAAAACGGAGAGUCAGAGGGAAGAUGCAAUCUGUCAGAAAAACUUUUUUUUUCUAUAUCUUGUUAAAAUGAGAAAGUUUUCCGGUUCUGACAAGAUAACUUUCAAGUUUUAACGAGAUCCUGCUCCUGAAUUCAGUCCCAGCUCUGGCGGCUCCAGGCUUCCGUACCGGCAGACAUGUUGGUGAGAUGAAACUGCUGAUUAUUUCCUCUCUGGGUCGACGCUGGAAGCGGCUUUGUGAAGUUAAUUAGCUCCUAAUCUGGGGGAACUGAUCUUUAACGGAUGAAGUGAUGAAAAACAACUGCAGCUCUUUGACUUGUUCGGAGUGUCAACGCAGACAUCAGCUGAUAUCCUGCAUGGCUGAUUCUGCUCUGAUCAGAAUGUUGUGGCUUCCUCCAGGUCCUGGAUGUGGUUCUGAUUAAAGACGAAGACUCGGACGGGUUCCACAGCAUUGACGUCGGAGAACAGCGGCGCCAGGAUGGCGGAGCGGCAGCCGCCAGCGAAGCCG